CCUACGGGUGACAGCAGUGAGGAAUAUUGGUCAAUGGGCGCGAGCCUGAACCAGCCAAGUAGCGUGAAGGAUGACUGCCCUACGGGUUGUAAACUUCUUUUAUAAGGGAAUAAAGUGAGGCACGUGUGCCUUGUUGUGUGUACUUUAUGAAUAAGCAUCGGCUAACUCCGUGCCAGCAGCCGCGGUAAUACGGAGGAUGCGAGCGUUAUCCGGAUUUAUUGGGGUUAAAGGGUGCGUAGAUGGGUUGUUAAGUCAGUUGUGAAAGUUUGGGGCUCAACCGUAAAAUUGCAAUUGAUACUGGCAGUCUUGAGUACAGGAGAGGUAGGCGGAAUUCGUGGUGUAGCGGUGAAAUGCUUAGAUAUCACGAAGAACUCCGAUUGCGAAGGCAGCUUACUAAACUGACACUGACAUUGAGGCUCGAAAGUGUGGGUAUCAAACAGGAUUAGAUACCCCAGUAGUC
rnacentral:rRNA from 1 species